ACGGCCAUAUCACGUUGAAAUACCACUUUUCGUACGAUCACCGAAGUUAAGCAAUGUCGAGCCUCGUCUGUACCUAGAUGGGUGACCCCAUUGGGAAUA